CUGGCGGCGUGCCUAAUACAUGCAAGUAGAACGCUGAAGAGAGGAGCUUGCUCUUCUUGGAUGAGUUGCGAACGGGUGAGUAACGCGUAGGUAACCUGCCUUGUAGCGGGGGAUAACUAUUGGAAACGAUAGCUAAUACCGCAUAACAAUGGAUGACACAUGUCAUUUAUUUGAAAGGGGCAAUUGCUCCACUACAAGAUGGACCUGCGUUGUAUUAGCUAGUAGGUGAGGUAAUGGCUCACCUAGGCGACGAUACAUAGCCGACCUGAGAGGGUGAUCGGCCACACUGGGACUGAGACACGGCCCAGACUCCUACGGGAGGCAGCAGUAGGGAAUCUUCGGCAAUGGGGGCAACCCUGACCGAGCAACGCCGCGUGAGUGAAGAAGGUUUUCGGAUCGUAAAGCUCUGUUGUAAGUCAAGAACGGGUGUGAGAGUGGAAAGUUCACACUGUGACGGUAGCUUACCAGAAAGGGACGGCUAACUACGUGCCAGCAGCCGCGGUAAUACGUAGGUCCCGAGCGUUGUCCGGAUUUAUUGGGCGUAAAGCGAGCGCAGGCGGUUUGAUAAGUCUGAAGUUAAAGGCUGUGGCUCAACCAUAGUUCGCUUUGGAAACUGUCAAACUUGAGUGCAGAAGGGGAGAGUGGAAUUCCAUGUGUAGCGGUGAAAUGCGUAGAUAUAUGGAGGAACACCGGUGGCGAAAGCGGCUCUCUGGUCUGUAACUGACGCUGAGGCUCGAAAGCGUGGGGAGCGAACAGGAUUAGAUACCCUGGUAGUCCACGCCGUAAACGAUGAGUGCUAGGUGUUGGAUCCUUUCCGGGAUUCAGUGCCGCAGCUAACGCAUUAAGCACUCCGCCUGGGGAGUACGACCGCAAGGUUGAAACUCAAAGGAAUUGACGGGGGCCCGCACAAGCGGUGGAGCAUGUGGUUUAAUUCGAAGCAACGCGAAGAACCUUACCAGGUCUUGACAUCCCGAUGCUAUUUCUAGAGAUAGAAAGUUACUUCGGUACAUCGGUGACAGGUGGUGCAUGGUUGUCGUCAGCUCGUGUCGUGAGAUGUUGGGUUAAGUCCCGCAACGAGCGCAACCCCUAUUGUUAGUUGCCAUCAUUCAGUUGGGCACUCUAGCGAGACUGCCGGUAAUAAACCGGAGGAAGGUGGGGAUGACGUCAAAUCAUCAUGCCCCUUAUGACCUGGGCUACACACGUGCUACAAUGGUUGGUACAACGAGUUGCGAGUCGGUGACGGCGAGCUAAUCUCUUAAAGCCAAUCUCAGUUCGGAUUGUAGGCUGCAACUCGCCUACAUGAAGUCGGAAUCGCUAGUAAUCGCGGAUCAGCACGCCGCGGUGAAUACGUUCCCGGGCCUUGUACACACCGCCCGUCACACCACGAGAGUUUGUAACACCCGAAGUCGGUGAGGUAACCUUUUGGAGCCAGCCGCCUAAGGUGGGACAGAUGAUUGGGGUGAAGU
rnacentral:rRNA from 1 species